CACGCCGUAAACGAUGAGUACUAAGUGUUGGAGAAAUUCAGUGCUGUAGUUAACGCAAUAAGUACUCCGCCUGAGUAGUACGUGCGCAAGCAUGAAACUCAAAGGAAUUGACGGGACCCCGCACAAGCGGUGGAUCAUGUUCUUUAAUUCGACGAUACGCGAAGAACCUUACCAGGUCUUGACAUCCCCUGCAAAGUUAUAGAGAUAUAAUGGAGGUUAUCAGGGAGACAGGUGG
rnacentral:rRNA from 1 species